rnacentral:rRNA from 1 species
AGAGUUUGAUCCUGGCUCAGGAUGAACGCUGGCGGCGUGCCUAACACAUGCAAGUCGAGCGAGAUGUAUAUGGACGAAACUUCGGUCUAGGAAAUAUAUUGACAGCGGCGGACGGGUGAGUAACGCGUAGGCAACCUGCCCUUAACACAGGGAUAGCCUCGGGAAACCGGGAUUAAAACCUGAUAAUGCCAAAUAGUCACAUGGCUGUUUGGCCAAAGAUUUAUCGGUUAAGGAUGGGCCUGCGUCUGAUUAGUUUGUUGGUGGGGUAACGGCCUACCAAGACUACGAUCAGUAGCCGACCUGAGAGGGUGAUCGGCCACAUUGGAACUGAGACACGGUCCAAACUCCUACGGGAGGCAGCAGUGGGGAAUUUUGCGCAAUGGGGGAAACCCUGACGCAGCAACGCCGCGUGAGUGAUGAAGGCCCUUGGGUCGUAAAGCUCUGUCAGAAGGGAAGAAAUGUAGGUGGCUAAUAUCCAUUCUACUUGACGGUACCUUCAAAGGAAGCACCGGCUAACUCCGUGCCAGCAGCCGCGGUAAUACGGAGGGUGCGAGCGUUGUUCGGAAUUAUUGGGCGUAAAGCGCGUGUAGGCGGUUUAUUAAGUCUGAUGUGAAAGCCCUGGGCUCAACCUGGGAAGUGCAUUGGAUACUGGUAGACUUGAGUACGGGAGAGGGCAGUGGAAUUCCUAGUGUAGGAGUGAAAUCCGUAGAUAUUAGGAGGAACACCGGUGGCGAAGGCGGCUGCCUGGACCGAUAUUGACGCUGAGACGCGAAAGCGUGGGUAGCAAACAGGAUUAGAUACCCUGGUAGUCC